UACAGAGGUCUCAAGCGUUGUUCGGAAUUACUGGGCGUAAAGCGCACGUAGGCGGCUUUGUAAGUUAGAGGUGAAAGCCCGGAGCUCAACUUCGGAAUUGCCUUUAAGACUGCAUCGCUUGAAUCAUGGAGAGGUCAGUGGAAUUCCGAGUGUAGAGGUGAAAUUCGUAGAUAUUCGGAAGAACACCAGUGGCGAAGGCGACUGACUGGACAUGUAUUGACGCUGAGGUGCGAAAGCGUGGGGAGCAAACAGG
rnacentral:rRNA from 1 species